rnacentral:lncRNA from 1 species
GUGACCAUUACCACCAUCCCCACUGCUACUACAGGCACUCACCGGUGGCAUGGUUACAAUGCCUUCAUCCAAGAAGGGCGCCAGGCAAAGCCCUGACCCUUCUCCCUGUCCUCCCUUCUUCCACAAAAAGAACAGAAAAGAAAGGAAGAGAAGAAGAAAAGAAAUGAACCUCCACUUAACCCUCCCCUUCAGGCAGCAUCUGAACCUCUGCACAUCUGAGUGUUACUCAUAUCAAAAUACAUCCCGUCCAUAUGUGGUCCUCUCAGCAGUCCGCCCCAAAUCCCAGAAGUUGCACUGACAGGGCCCGAGUGACGUCACAGAGCUUGGCCUCACCAUUUCGAGUGAUUUAUUGAUGUUUAUUGGGAAUGAAUAGAUCAAAGGCAGCAGCAUGACGGGCGAUCAAUCAGUCAUCAAAUCAAGGGUGGCAAAGGGCCAGAAACCCUUCUUCCAAGCAACAUGCCCCCAACUGACAUUAUUGCAAAAUAAUGUUAUGUGUGUGGGGUUUUGUUUUGCUUUCAAUGAUGCUUUUUCCAGAAAAGAAAAUAACAACAAAAAAAAAAUCGUCUCAGUCUUAACAGGAGUUGACACUCCUGGAAAGAAAAGAAAAAAGAAAAAAAAAGGAGCGGGGUCGAGGGUGGGGGGCGGCGAAGAAAGUACUCAGAUACGUCCCAGAACUAAGUGCCAGGAGGAAAUGAGGGUGGGAGAAGCAGUAGAAGGAGAAGGUGGGGGUGAGCGAAAACAAACCAGGGUAAAGAGAACGCCAGCAUCUAACAGCGACUUGACAGUCAUCUGACAAUACCCAGACCCUGUGCGCUCUGGUUUCCACCGCUGUGCCCGGUUUGGGCCCAAUAAAUGAAGAAUCAAUCGGAUUAGCAGUAAGGUGGCCAAAGGGACCCGCUCGCUCACUCGUUCGCUCUCUUUCGCUCGGCAGACACCGGGCAGUCCCCCGCCGGCCGGCCGCGGGAGGACACAGAAGGUGUCCCGGGCAACUCAGGUGACCCCGCCCGCCCCCCACAGAAAGAGACAGAAGAGGGCUCCUUCCCACCCCCUCGGCGGCCAGGCGGGGAGCAGAGGAGGCAGGGACUCAGCCUCGCUCAGUUCGCCGCGGGCGAGCGCGGUUCCCGAAGUGGGUGCGAGCGGGAAGGGGGGCAGGGGGGCGGCGGCAGAGCGCAGCGGGGCGUCCGGGGGGCGCCGGUCCGCGAGGCGGGCGCACGCACCAGACAGGAGAGCGGUGAGAAAGCCCGGCGCCCCGGAGUUACUCUGCGUGGCCAGAGCGAGAGGGGCGAGGAGCGGGGCAAGGAGCGGGGUCGCCGCCGGCUGGAGACGCGGGGCGAGGAGAGGAAGAGGAGGCGGAGAAGAG